UGGGGAAUAUUGGGCAAUGGGCGCAAGCCUGACCCAGCAACGCCGCGUGAAGGAAGAAGGCUUUCGGGUUGUAAACUUCUUUUGACAGGGAAGAGGAGAAGACGGUACCUGUCGAAUAAGCUCCGGCUAACUACGUGCCAGCAGCCGCGGUAAUACGUAGGGAGCGAGCGUUGUCCGGAUUUACUGGGUGUAAAGGGCGUGCAGCCGGGAAUACAAGUCAGAUGUGAAAUCCCGCGGCUCAACCGCGGAACUGCAUUUGAAACUGUAUUUCUUGAGUACUGGAGAGGCAGGCGGAAUUCCUAGUGUAGCGGUGAAAUGCGUAGAUAUUAGGAGGAACACCAGUGGCGAAGGCGGCCUGCUGGACAGCAACUGACGGUGAGGCGCGAAAGCGUGGGGAGCAAACAGG
rnacentral:rRNA from 1 species